rnacentral:rRNA from 1 species
GACGAACGCUGGCGGCGUGGAUUAGGCAUGCAAGUCGAACGGUAUCAUCCUUUCGGGGGUGAGAGAGUGGCGAACUGGUGAGUAACACGUAGGUUAUCUACCCUCAAGACGGGGACAACCCAGGGAAACUUGGGCUAAUACCGGAUGUGAGCAACUUUUAGUUGUUUGAAAGGUGGCGUAAGCUGUCGCUUGGGGAUGAGCCUGCGUCCUAUUAGUUAGUUGGUGAGGUAACGGCUCACCUAGGCAAUGAUAGGUAGGCGGCCUUAACGGGUGGUCGCCCACACUGGGAUUGAGAUACGGCCCAGACUCCUACGGGAGGCAGCAGUCGAGAAUAGUCUACAAUGGUCGGAAGACUGAUAGUGCGACGCCGCGUGAACGAUGAAUCCCUUCGGGGUGUAAAGUUCUUUUAUAUGUGAGCAGUGCUUCUUAUAUUUAACAGUAUGGGGAGAGAGAUAUUAGCAUAUGAAUAAAGCAACGGCUAAACUCCGUGCCAGCAGCCGGCGGUAAAAAUA